ACACGGCGAGACCGCGGACGGCUCAUUAAAUCAGUCGUGGUCCAUAUGGGCUAGAGUUAAUCCUACUUGGAUAACUGUGGUAAUUCCAGAGCUAAUACAUGCAACUCUUAUCCUGACGUAGCGCGGCUCAUCUCACGGUUUGUCGUAGCGCUGACGGAUGCUUUUAUUAGACCAAACCGCUGGGUGCGUGUUCGUGUUUAUUCGCGGAUGCGUACCGCUCGUUUAAUGGUGACUCUGGAUAACCUUAUUGACAAGCGCACGUACUCCUCGUGGGACGGCGCUGCCACUUUCGAGUGUCUGCCUUAUCAGCUAUCAACCGUUUGUUACGUGCACACGAUGGCUUUGACGGGUAACGGGGAAUCAGAGUUCGAUUCCGGAGAGGCAGCCUGAGAGACGGCUACCACGUCCAAGGACGGCAGCAGGCACGCAAAUUACCCAAUCCCAGCACCUGGGGGAGGUAGUGACGAAAUCUAACGAUGCGGGCGCCCUUUCUGGGGCCCCGCAAUCGGAAUGGCCACUUUCUAAACAACCUGUUGAGAACCUACUGAAGGGCAAGUCUGGUGCCAGCAGCCGCGGUAAUUCCAGCUU
rnacentral:rRNA from 1 species